UGUGGUUAUUAUAGCGAGGAGGAUACACCUGUUCCCAUUCCGAACACAGAAGUUAAGCUCUUUAGCGCUGAAGGUACUUGGUGGGAAGCUGCCUGGGAGAAUAAGAAAUAGCCACGU
rnacentral:rRNA from 1 species